AUUGAACGCUGGCGGCAUGCCUUACACAUGCAAGUCGAACGGUAACAGGUCUUCGGAUGCUGACGAGUGGCGAACGGGUGAGUAAUACAUCGGAACGUGCCCGAUCGUGGGGGAUAACGGAGCGAAAGCUUUGCUAAUACCGCAUACGAUCUACGGAUGAAAGCAGGGGACCGCAAGGCCUUGCGCGGACGGAGCGGCCGAUGGCAGAUUAGGUAGUUGGUGGGAUAAAAGCUUACCGAGCCGACGAUCUGUAGCUGGUCUGAGAGGACGACCAGCCACACUGGGACUGAGACACGGCCCAGACUCCUACGGGAGGCAGCAGUGGGGAAUUUUGGACAAUGGGCGCAAGCCUGAUCCAGCCAUGCCGCGUGCAGGAUGAAGGCCUUCGGGUUGUAAACUGCUUUUGUACGGAACGAAAGACUCUUUCUAAUAAAGAGGUCCAUGACGGUACCGUAAGAAUAAGCACCGGCUAACUACGUGCCAGCAGCCGAC
rnacentral:rRNA from 1 species